UGGAUGCAGAGUUUACAGCAACACUUCCAACACAGCAAAAACCUCUCCAUAAACACCGGCACCCGAAAUGAUAGCCUUUCAUCUGCUUACUUGCCUGCCUGGUAGCCAGAUUCCAGAGCAGUCCUGCCUAGGUCGCCUGAGUCCAGGUUGUCCUUCAGAGUGGCUCAUCCUCUUUCUUGUCCGCCUGAGGUCUCCUACUCUGACAUGCCCCCAAGGCCGCCUGCCUAAGGUUUCCUGCUCCACCCCUGUCCAACCCCCAGGCUGUCUGCCUGAGGUUUCCUGCUCCGCCCCUGUCCAGACCCAAGGUUGUCCACCUGAGGUCCCCAGCUCCAUUUUAAAGCUCUGUGGCCACUUGCCCCUGGCUCUGCCUGCUUGCCUGCACACACCCUUUUUCUAACACAGGCAUUUUUUCUUUUCUUUUUUUAAAUUUUUUUUUACAAAUCUGUAGUCUUGAGCCCAAACCAAGAUAACCAUGAAGACAUUAUCAGCGUUAUUGUCUCAGACUUUGGAUUAAACAACAUUAAACAACUA